ensembl:lncRNA
UAAGAGAGCAGGGGAGGAGACAAAGGUGAAGGAGACGGUGGGAGCAGUGAUACUUACCAAGCUGUUGAGUUCGGCACCCAGAGUACUUCUGAACCCAUUUCAGUUUUGGAAACUUGCUUCAAGUGCACGCGGACAGAGAAGCCCUGUUUGCAGAACAAAUGGAAGGCUCAGGAGUCUAUAGAUCAUCAUUCUCACAAGAAAUCAUUUGGCUGUGGUGUGGGAAAUGGACCCUUGGAAGGUGAGAAUGGAAACAGAGCUCACCAGAAGGCACCUGGUUUAGAAAACCACACUAGCUCUUAUGGAAGAACAACUGGAUUCAAGAUGAUUAUUAUGUGGAGGCCGAGAAUAUGACUCUGAAACUAUAACAAUUUUCUUUUUUGUUACUGUUAAAAAGAAAGCAGGUUUACUGAUUAGUCCCAUGGUGAACCUUUCCAUCUGACUGACCGUGGAAAGGGCUUCCCUGGUGGCUCAGAUGGUAGAGAAUCUGCCUGCAACACAGGAUACCUGGAUUCCACCCCUGGGUCAGGAAGAUUCCUGGAAAAGGGAAUGGCAACCCACUC